CACAUGACUCUCGGCAACGGAUAUCUCGGCUCUCGCAUCGAUGAAGAACGUAGCGAAAUGCGAUACCUGGUGUGAAUUGCAGAAUCCCGCGAACCAUCGAGUUUUUGAACGCAAGUUGCGCCCGAGGCCUCUUGGUUGAGGGCACGCCUGCCUGGGCGUCACGC
rnacentral:rRNA from 1 species